GUCCACUUCAAUAGUGAUAAUGAACGACAGGUAGCCAGUCCACUUCAAUAGUGAUAAUGAACGACAGGUAGCCAGUCCACUUCAGUAGUGAUAAUGAACGACAAGUAGCCAGUCCACUUCAAUAGUGAUAAUGAACGACAAGUAGCCAGUCCACUUCAAUAGUGAUAAUGAACGACAAGUAGCCAGUCCACUUCAGUAGUGAUAUUGAAUGACAAGUAGCCAGUCCACUUCAAUAGUGAUAAUGAACGACAAGUAGCCAGUCCACUUCAAUAGUGAUAAUGAACGACAAGUAGCCAGUCCACUUCAAUAGUGAUAAUGAACGACAAGUAGCCAGUCCACUUCAGUAGUGAUAUUGAAUGACAGGUAGCUAGUCCACUUCAAUAGCGAUAAUGAAUGACAGGUAGCUAGUCCACUUCAAUAGUGAUAUUGAAUGACAGGUAGCUAGUCCACUUCAAUAGUGAUAAUGAAUGACAGGUAGCCAGUCCACUUCAGUCGUGAUAAUGAAUGACAGGUAGCCAGUCCACUUCAACAGUGAUAAUGAACGACAGGUAGCCAGUCCACUUCAACUGUGAUAAUGAACGACAAGUAGCCAGUCCACUUCAACAGUGAUAAUGAACAACAAGUAGCCAGUCCACUUCAACAGUGAUAAUGAAUGACAGGUAGCCAGUCCACUUCAGUAGUGAUAAUGAAUGACAGGUAGCCAGUCCACUUCAGUAGUGAUAAUGAAUGACAGGUAGCCAGUCCACUUCAGUAGUGAUAAUGAACGACAGGUAGCCAGUCCACUUCAAUAGUGAUAAUGAACAACAGGUAGCCAGUCAACUUCAGCAGUGAUAAUGAAUGACAG
ensembl:lncRNA